AUACGUAGGUGGCAAGCGUUGUCCGGAAUUAUUGGGCGUAAAGCGCGCGCAGGUGGUUCCUUAAGUCUGAUGUGAAAGCCCCCGGCUCAACCGGGGAGGGUCAUUGGAAACUGGGGAACUUGAGUGCAAAAGAGGAUAGUGGAAUUCCAAGUGUAGCGGUGAAAUGCGUAGAGAUUUGGAGGAACACCAGUGGCGAAGGCGACUGUCUGGUCUGUAACUGACACUGAGGCGCGAAAGCGUGGGGAGCAAACAGGAUUAGAUACCCUGGUAGUCCACGCCGUAAACGAUGAGUGCUAAGUGUUGGGGGGUUUCCGCCCCUCAGUGCUGCAGCUAACGCAUUAAGCACUCCGCCUGGGGAGUACGGUCGCAAGACUGAAACUCAAAUGAAUUGACGGGG
rnacentral:rRNA from 1 species